rnacentral:rRNA from 1 species
UAGGGAAUCUUCGGCAAUGGACGGAAGUCUGACCGAGCAACGCCGCGUGAGUGAAGAAGGUUUUCGGAUCGUAAAGCUCUGUUGUAAGAGAAGAGCGAGUGUGAGAGUGGAAAGUUCACACUGUGACGGUAUCUUACCAGAAAGGGACGGCUAACUACGUGCCAGCAGCCGCGGUAAUACGUAGGUCCCGAGCGUUGUCCGGAUUUAUUGGGCGUAAAGCGAGCGCAGGCGGUUAGAUAAGUCUGAAGUUAAAGGCUGUGGCUUAACCAUAGUACGCUUUGGAAACUGUUUAACUUGAGUGCAAGAGAGGAGAGUGGAAUUCCAUGUGUAGCGGUGAAAUGCGUAGAUAUAUGGAGGAACACCGGUGGCGAAAGCGGCUCUCUGGCUUGUAACUGACGCUGAGGCUCGAAAGCGUGGGGAGCAAACAGGAUUAGAUACCCUGGUAGUCCACGCCGUAAACGAUGAGUGCUAGGUGUUAGACCCUUUCCGGGGUUUAGUGCCGCAGCUAACGCAUUAAGCACUCCGCCUGGGGAGUACGACCGCAAGGUUG